GAUGAACGCUAGCUACAGGCUUAACACAUGCAAGUCGCGGGGCAGCAUGGGGGUUGCUUGCAAUCCCCGAUGGCGACCGGCGCACGGGUGAGUAACGCGUAUCCAACCUGCCCUUCACCACGGGAUAACCCGGCGAAAGUCGGACUAAUACCGUAUGUUGUCCAUUGACGGCAUCCGAUUUGGACGAAAGGUUUGGCGGUGAAGGAUGGGGAUGCGUCCGAUUAGCUGGACGGCGGGGUGACGGCCCACCGUGGCGACGAUCGGUAGGGGUUCUGAGAGGAAGGUCCCCCACACUGGAACUGAGACACGGUCCAGACUCCUACGGGAGGCAGCAGUGAGGAAGAUUGGUCAAUGAGCGUAAGCCUGAACCAGCCAAGUAGCGUGCAGGAUGACGGCCCUAUGGGUUGUAAACUGCUUUUAUGCGGGGAUAAAGUGGCCCACGUGUGGGUUUUUGCAGGUACCGCAUGAAUAAGGACCGGCUAAUUCCGUG
rnacentral:rRNA from 1 species